AUACCUUUCUCGGCUUUUUGGCUAAGAUCAAGUGUAGUAUCUGUUCUUAUCAGUUUAAUAUCUAAUAUGUGGAUCAUUGAUUCACAUGAUAUUAAAUUAAAUUUUUUAAUGGGAGGGUUAACUACAGUGGCUUGCUACCGGAAUCCUCAUGCAUGGGCUGGCGCAACCCAA
rfam:Ricinus communis cultivar Hale ctg_1100012296277, whole genome shotgun sequence.